GGCUGAAUAGCUCAGUUGGCUAGAGCACAUGGUUCAUACCCAUGGGGUCGUGAGUUCGAGUCUCUCUUCAGCCA
rnacentral:tRNA from 1 species